rnacentral:rRNA from 1 species
UACGUAGGGUGCGAGCGUUAAUCGGAAUUACUGGGCGUAAAGCGUGCGCAGGCGGUUCGUUAAGUCAGCUGUGAAAGCCCCCGAGCUUAACUUGGGAAUUGCGGUUGAAACUGGCGGACUAGAAUCUGGCAGAGGGGGGGUGGAAUUCCACGUGUAGCAGUGAAAUGCGUAGAGAUGUGGAGGAACACCGAUGGCGAAGGCAGCCCCCUGGGCUGAGAUUGACGCUCAGGCACGAAAGCGUGGGGAGCAAACAGGAU